CAAAAAGUAGUUUAAAAAAAUGUAAGCUUUGGGAGCUUGAGAUGCAGAUCCCUGUCUUUUUGA
rnacentral:tRNA from 1 species